GAUGAAGAACGCAGCGAAAUGCGAUACUUGGUGUGAAUUCCAGAAUCCCGUGAACCAUCGAGUUUUUGAACGCAAGUUGCGCCCGAAGCCGUUAGGCUGAGGGCACGCCUGCCUGGGUGUCACAGAUCGUUGCCCCAAUGCCAAUCGCCUCACUUUGUAGGUAUUUGCUUGGGGUGAAUGUUGGCCUCCCGUGAGCUUUGUCUCACGGUUGGUUGAAAAUCGAGUGCAUGGUGUCGGGUGUACCAUGAUGGAUGGUGGUUGAGUGAUGAUGCUCGAGACCAAUCAUGGGUAACUCCACCAGAAUUGGGCUCGGUGACCCACAUGCGUCCCUUGGAUGCUCCCUAAGGAGACCUCAGGUCAGGCGGGGCUACCCGCUGAGUUUAAGCAUAUCAAUAAGCGGAGGA
rnacentral:misc_RNA from 1 species